rnacentral:rRNA from 1 species
AUUGAACGCUGGCGGCACGCUUUACACAUGCAAGUCGAACGGUAACAGGGUGCUUGCACCGCUGACGAGUGGCGAACGGGUGAGUAAUGCGUCGGAACGCACCGAGUAAUGGGGGAUAACGCAGCGAAAGCUGUGCUAAUACCGCAUACGCUCUGAGGAGGAAAGCGGGGGACCUUCGGGCCUCGCGUUAUUCGAGCGGCCGACGUCUGAUUAGCUAGUAGGUGAGGUAAGAGCUCACCUAGGCGACGAUCAGUAGCGGGUCUGAGAGGAUGAUCCGCCACACUGGGACUGAGACACGGCCCAGACUCCUACGGGAGGCAGCAGUGGGGAAUUUUGGACAAUGGGCGCAAGCCUGAUCCAGCCAUGCCGCGUGUCUGAAGAAGGCCUUCGGGUUGUAAAGGACUUUUGUCAGGGAGGAAAUCCUUAGCGCUAAUACCGUUGAGGGAUAACAGUACCUGAAGAAUAAGCACCGGCUGACUACGUGCCAGCAGCCGCAGUAA